UACGUAGGGUGCAAGCGUUAUCCGGAUUUACUGGGUUUAAAGGGUGCGUAGGUGGGUCUGUAAGUCAGUGGUGAAAUCUUCAAGCUUAACUUGGAAACUGCCAUUGAUACUAUAGGUCUUGAAUUAUCUGGAGGUGAGCGGAAUAUGUCAUGUAGCGGUGAAAUGCUUAGAUAUGACAUAGAACACCAAUUGCGAAGGCAGCUCACUACGGAUGUAUUGACACUGAGGCACGAAAGCGUGGGGAUCAAACAGG
rnacentral:rRNA from 1 species